AAAGUCGUAACAAGGUUUCCGUAGGUGAACCUGCGGAAGGAUCAUUAAGAUAUUAAAGUUGUGCAUGGCGGUCCAAGGCAAUUGCCAGACCGCCGCCUAGACGCAACACCCUCUGCGUAUCUACCGCGUUGCUUUGGCGGGACGGCAGCCAACAGCUCUGCUGGGAACCUGUCCGCAGGGCCCCUCAAGGCCCCGUGAGUGCCCGCCAGAGGACCAUCAAACUCGUGUUAAACCGUGAUGUCUGAGCUUUACAAGCAAUAAGUUAAAACUUUCAACAACGGAUCUCUUGGUUCUCGCAUCGAUGAAGAACGCAGCGAAAUGCGAUAAGUAAUGUGAAUUGCAGAAUUCAGUGAAUCAUCGAAUCUUUGAACGCAUAUUGCGCCCCUUGGUAUUCCGAGGGGCAUGCCUUUUCGAGCGUCAUUGCAACCGUCAAGCUCUGCUUGGUGUUGGGCCUCCGUCCCCUGGUGGGCGGGCCUCAAAGUCAUCAGCGGCUGAGCGAACGGCUUCUAGCGUAGUAGAGAUUAACUCGCUGGGGGAGCCGGCCUCGGGCAGCUGUCAAACACGCGCUUCGCGCACACCUUAGGUUGACCUCGGAUAAGGUAGGGAUACCCGCUGAACUUA
rnacentral:rRNA from 1 species